AUGAACGCUAGCUACAGGCUUAACACAUGCAAGUCGAGGGGCAGCAUUUUAGUUUGCUUGCAAACUGAAGAUGGCGACCGGCGCACGGGUGAGUAACACGUAUCCAACCUGCCGAUAACUCCGGAAUAGCCUUUCGAAAGAAAGAUUAAUACCGGAUGGCAUACGAAUAUCGCAUGAUAUUUUUAUUAAAGAAUUUCGGUUAUCGAUGGGGAUGCGUUCCAUUAGUUUGUUGGCGGGGUAACGGCCCACCAAGACUACGAUGGAUAGGGGUUCUGAGAGGAAGGUCCCCCACAUUGGAACUGAGACACGGUCCAAACUCCUACGGGAGGCAGCAGUGAGGAAUAUUGGUCAAUGGGCGCGAGCCUGAACCAGCCAAGUAGCGUGAAGGAUGAAGGCUCUAUGGGUCGUAAACUUCUUUUAUAUGGGAAUAAAGUUUUCCACGUGUGGAAUUUUGUAUGUACCAUAUGAAUAAGGAUCGGCUAACUCCGUGCCAGCAGCCGCGGUAAUACGGAGGAUCCGAGCGUUAUCCGGAUUUAUUGGGUUUAAAGGGAGCGUAGGUGGAUUGUUAAGUCAGUUGUGAAAGUUUGCGGCUCAACCGUAAAAUUGCAGUUGAAACUGGCAGUCUUGAGUACAGUAGAGGUGGGCGGAAUUCGUGGUGUAGCGGUGAAAUGCUUAGAUAUCACGAAGAACUCCGAUUGCGAAGGCAGCUCACUAGACUGUCACUGACACUGAUGCUCGAAAGUGUGGGUAUCAAACAGGAUUAGAUACCCUGGUAGUCCACACAGUAAACGAUGAAUACUCGCUGUUUGCGAUAUACAGUAAGCGGCCAAGCGAAAGCAUUAAGUAUUCCACCUGGGGAGUACGCCGGCAACGGUGAAACUCAAAGGAAUUGACGGGGGCCCGCACAAGCGGAGGAACAUGUGGUUUAAUUCGAUGAUACGCGAGGAACCUUACCCGGGCUUAAAUUGCAACAGAAUAUAUUGGAAACAGUAUAGCCGUAAGGCUGUUGUGAAGGUGCUGCAUGGUUGUCGUCAGCUCGUGCCGUGAGGUGUCGGCUUAAGUGCCAUAACGAGCGCAACCCUUAUCUUUAGUUACUAACAGGUCAUGCUGAGGACUCUAGAGAGACUGCCGUCGUAAGAUGUGAGGAAGGUGGGGAUGACGUCAAAUCAGCACGGCCCUUACGUCCGGGGCUACACACGUGUUACAAUGGGGGGUACAGAAGGCGGCUACCUGGUGACAGGAUGCUAAUCCCAAAAACCUCUCUCAGUUCGGAUCGAAGUCUGCAACCCGACUUCGUGAAGCUGGAUUCGCUAGUAAUCGCGCAUCAGCCAUGGCGCGGUGAAUACGUUCCCGGGCCUUGUACACACCGCCCGUCAAGCCAUGAAAGCCGGGGGUACCUGAAGUACGUAACCGCAAGGAGCGUCCUAGGGUAAAACUGGUAAUUGGGGCU
rnacentral:rRNA from 1 species